AUCAGCGCAGCGCGGGCAAACUGAAUUCGAGGUGGAGGUGGAUGCCACACACACGCUGUAAUAUUUGGAGAAAUAAGACCUGCUCUUGACUGUCCGUGGUGGCAAAUCCACAGCCUUUAGCUGGAGUAGAAUCAACCGUAUCUGAAGAGAGAGCUGAGGAAAUUAAACAAUGGCUGAGAAACAACACACAGCCCAUCAGCCAGGUGGAACAGUACAUCUGAAAAAUAUGUUUGAGGUCCUCCAUGAGUUUCCUCGGCUAACUACCUUAGGCAUGGUAUGUUAACAUAAUGUCUUUGUCAUAUGGUAACAUGAGUUAUAUUAAGUCUUUUUUUUUUGUUUGUUAUUUUUGCUUUUAGAUUGCACAGGACUUUCACAUUUUACAUUAAGAUGAAGCCCCAAAACUGUUUGAAAAAUGGCUGGUAUACUGACAGGAUCUUGCUUUUUGUGAGCGAGAAGCAAAGCUUUCAUGUACCGCUGAAGAAAUGACAGAAGAUGCAAAGGGAAAUCUUGCACUAAAGCUAUUACCUGUUUUGCUUCUACCUCCACCCUACAAAAUUGGCAGAAAAACAGUCCGACCCAGCAUUGAUGAAAGCAAAAAAGCUUUCAUUGACAUUCAGCCUGUUGGAACAAAUAUGGUGGAGUACCUCCAGCAGGCUGAAGCAUCAAGACCUUACCCAUAUGUCCUGUAACUUGAAAAUGGACACAUUGCGUCGCGGGCAUUUGUCAUCCUCGCAGGAGAAGCUUUGGAACAAAGAACUAUUGUUUAAGGGGAAGUCAUGGCCUAAUGGUUAGAGAGUUGGACUCGCAAUUUAAGGGUUGUGUGUUCGAGUCUCGGGCCGACAGGAAUUGUAGGUGAGAGGAAUGUAUAGUGCUCUCUUCCACC